ACUUAAAUAGCUUAAAUAUUAGAGCGUGACAUUGAAGAUGUUAAGGUAACUUUUUGUUUUUAGGUA
rnacentral:tRNA from 1 species